rnacentral:rRNA from 1 species
UGGGGAAUAUUGGACAAUGGGCGAAAGCCUGAUCCAGCCAUGCCGCGUGUGUGAAGAAGGUCUUCGGAUUGUAAAGCACUUUAAGUUGGGAGGAAGGGCAGUAAGCGAAUACCUUGCUGUUUUGACGUUACCGACAGAAUAAGCACCGGCUAACUCUGUGCCAGCAGCCGCGGUAAUACAGAGGGUGCAAGCGUUAAUCGGAAUUACUGGGCGUAAAGCGCGCGUAGGUGGUUGGUUAAGUUGAAUGUGAAAGCCCCGGGCUCAACCUGGGAACUGCAUCCAAAACUGGCGGGCUAGAGUAGGGCAGAGAGUGGUGGAAGUUCCUGUGUAGCGGUGAAAUGCGUAGAUAUAGGAAGGAACACCAGUGGCGAAGGCGACCACCUGGGCUCAUACUGACACUGAGGUGCGAAAGCGUGGGGAGCAAACAGG